CACACUGAAGCAAUCGAUCAAGGAAGUCGUGUGAUCGUAGUUUUUCUCCGAUGAGGCUGCUUCUCUGCAAGAAAGUUUAAGAUGCAUCGAAACUUUCAAUCAGUGAGCAUACCGACCUUUGUAGUUCGUGAAAACAGUUUUGUGGAAUAUAAAAUAGAGCUUUUGACAGCAACUUCCAGCUGGAGUGUCUGGCGUCGCUAUAGUGAAUUUUGUUCUUUACACGAAAAA